rnacentral:rRNA from 1 species
UGAACGCGAAGAACCUUACCUGGUCUUGACAUCCCGAUGAAUACAGGGUAAUGCCUGUAGAGCUUCGGCACAUCGGAGACAGGUGGUGCAUGGUUGUCGUCAGCUCGUGUCGUGAGAUGUUGGGUUAAGUCCCGCAACGAGCGCAACCCUUAUCCUUAGUAGCCAGCAUUUAAGGUGGGCACUCUAGGGAGACUGCCGGGGGCAACCCGGAGGAAGGCGGGGAUGACGUCAAAUCAUCAUGCCCCUUAUGGCCAGGGCUACACACGUGCUACAAUGGCGCAAACAGAGGGAAGCGGACCGGUGACGGCGAGCGAAUCCCAAAAAGUGCGUCCCAGUUCGGAUUGUAGUCUGCAGCUCGACUACAUGAAGCCGGAAUCGCUAGUAAUCGCUGAUCAGAAUGCCGCGGUGAAUACGUUCCCGGGUCUCUCCUCUCCG